rnacentral:rRNA from 1 species
UACGUAGGGGGCGAGCGUUGUCCGGAUUUAUUGGGCGUAAAGCGCACGCAGGCGGUCUCGUCAGUUUGGAGUGACAGUGCUGGGCUCAACUCAGCAAGGUCUCCGAAUACUGCGGGACUUGAGGACCAGAGAGGGACAUAGAAUUCCGGGUGGAGUGGUGAAAUGCGUAGAUAUCCGGAGGAAUACCAAAGGCGAAGGCAGUGUCCCGGCUGGUAACUGACGCUCAGGUGCGAAAGCUAGGGGAGCGAACAGG